rnacentral:tRNA from 1 species
GGGGUUGUGGCUCAGGGUAGAGCUCUCGCCUGCACGUGUGAAACCCUGGGUUCUAACCCCAGCACCUCA